CUCCGGAAGCACUAAACCCACACACGUGUCGACACGAUGACCUGGGUGCCUUCGAUCUUAGGGUCGCGGGUUGGUCAUUGGGAUACGUGGAGGCCCAAC
rnacentral:sRNA from 1 species